rnacentral:rRNA from 1 species
GAUCUGGUUAGGUGGUUUGCCUGCAAGGGUAACACUGCCUUGGCUGGAUCUUUCCUUCUGGGGAACUAGUGUGCUCUUCACUGAGUGCGCUAGGGAUCCAGAACUGUUACUUUGAAAAAAUUAGAGUGUUUAAAGCAAGCUAACGCUUGAAUACAUUAGCAUGGAAUAAUGAAAUAGGAC